AGAGUUUGAUCCUGGCUCAGAUUGAACGCUGGCGGCAGGCCUAACACAUGCAAGUCGAACGGUAACAGGAAGCAGCUUGCUGCUUCGCUGACGAGUGGCGGACGGGUGAGUAAUGUCUGGGAAACUGCCUGAUGGAGGGGGAUAACUACUGGAAACGGUAGCUAAUACCGCAUAACGUCGCAAGACCAAAGAGGGGGACCUUCGGGCCUCUUGCCAUCGGAUGUGCCCAGAUGGGAUUAGCUAGUAGGUGGGGUAACGGCUCACCUAGGCGACGAUCCCUAGCUGGUCUGAGAGGAUGACCAGCCACACUGGAACUGAGACACGGUCCAGACUCCUACGGGAGGCAGCAGUGGGGAAUAUUGCACAAUGGGCGCAAGCCUGAUGCAGCCAUGCCGCGUGUAUGAAGAAGGCCUUCGGGUUGUAAAGUACUUUCAGCGGGGAGGAAGGCGAUAAGGUUAAUAACCUUGUCGAUUGACGUACCCGCAGAAGAAGCACCGC
rnacentral:rRNA from 1 species